rnacentral:sRNA from 1 species
CUGGCAGUCCUGGAGCCCAAAGUCCCUGUAUCCACAGGACAUGCAGUAGCCGUGCUGCCUUCCUUCAGCCUGCCCCAUCAAUGCUCCCCAGCCCUGGCCUGGAGGGACCACCUCUGGGGAGGCUGAGGUAGUUCCGUCUCAUGGCCCAUUCAGUUCUUUGCUAAG